AUGGCGAAGCCACGCCGGAGCAGAUUCGCUGUCGCCGGGUGCGGAUGCUUCGGAGGCCAGGCUCGGGGGAAGGUGGCAGAGGAUGAGUACCCGGUGAAGCUGCAUAUCUACGAUCUCAGUCGGGGGAUGGCGCGGCAGCUCUCCACCACGGUGCUCGGCAAGCCUAUCGACGCCAUCUGGCACACAGGCGUGGUGGUUCAUGGCAAAGAGUACUACUUCGGGGGAGGCAUCCAGCAAGGCCGGCCUGGAAGGACGCCGUACGGGACUCCUGCCCGAGUAGAGCAUUUUGGGGUCACGCAUGUCUCCAAGGAGGACUUUGAAGGCUUUCUGCAGGAGAUCAGCCCGCGCUACACACCAGAAACCUACAACCUCCUCAGCAACAACUGCAACCACUUCAGCAAUGAGGUGGUCAAGUUCCUCGUUGGUUCCACAGUUCCGAGCUACAUCCUCGACCAGCCCAAGGAGGCAAUGAAGAGCCCGAUUGGCGCGCUGAUAAUGCCGAUGCUUCAGGGGCUGGAGACAACCAUGAAAGCCGGAGCUGCUCCACAACAGCCUCCACAAUUCGUGCCUGCUCCUGCAGCGGCGUCGCAGAUGCAGCCUUCCACGAAUAACAUUCAGAUGCAGUCGAGAUCAGUCACCGCCGAUGAACCAGGUGCUGACAAGACGGCGGAUCAUGACAGUGGAAUCAUACCUGCUCCCAAAGAAGCAGGGGAGGUGCAGCCUUCCGCAGGUAGCACUCAGAAUGAAAUUGCCACGGAUGAGAUGGUGAGCAAUGACGGCGGGAUCAUCCCGCCUGUGGUGGUGCUACCCACUCCCAAGGGAGUGGGGCAGACACAGCCCUCCACGAACAACGACCAGAUAGAAUCAAGAUCAGUCACCGCCAAUGAAACUGGCGCUGAUGAAAUGGUUGACAGUGAUGGUGGCAUCAUCCCGCCUCCUGCAGAACCAGCUGCUCCAGCCGCAGCGACGCAGACAGAGCCUUCCCUAAAUAGCAUUGAGCUCCAGACAGUGGACGAGGGCACUAGGAUGGUCACCCCGCCAGCCGUGCAACCAGCUGCUCCAGCAGCGACGGUGGCCAAGGUGACUCUGCCAGCGGCAGCAGCUUCAGAUCCCCUCGGAGAGGCGAAGAGCCGAGCACAGGAGGAGCUAAAGCAGGAGUUUGCGGCCAUCAUGGCGACAGGGACUGUGCAGGCUGGUGAUGCGGCUGCCCUCGCGAUGAGAAGGGUCAUGGAGCGGCAUGGGCUGCGGCGCGCCGCAGUUCCCACGCAACAAAGGUAG
rnacentral:rRNA from 1 species